UACGUAGGGGGCAAGCGUUUGUCCGGAAUCAUUGGGCGUAAAGCGCGUGUAGGCGGUUACGUAAGUCUGCUGUGAAAGUCGGAGGCUCAACCUUCGAAAGCCGGUGGAUACUGCGUGACUAGAGUACGGAAGAGGAGAGUGGAAUUCCUGGUGUAGCGGUGAAAUGCGCAGAUAUCAGGAAGAACACCCGUGGCGAAGGCGGCUCUCUGGUACGUGACUGACGCUGAGACGCGAAAGCGUGGGGAGCGAACAGG
rnacentral:rRNA from 1 species